rnacentral:rRNA from 1 species
GACGAACGCUGGCGGCGUGCUUAACACAUGCAAGUCGAACGAUGAAGUUCCUUCGGGAAUGGAUUAGUGGCGAACGGGUGAGGAACACGUGAGAAACCUGCCUUUCAUUUUGGGAUAACUCCGGGAAACCGGGGCUAAAACCGAAUACUCCGUCUCGGCGGCAUCGCUGAGCCGGGAAAAAAUUUUGAUGAAAGAUGGUCUCGCGGCCUAUCAGCUAGUUGGUGAGGUAAUGGCUCACCAAGACAACGACGGGUAGCCGGCCUGAGAGGGCGACCGGACACACUGGGACGGAGACAGGGCCCAGCCUCCUACGGGAGGCAGCAGUGGGGAAUAUUGGGCAAUGGGCGCAAGCCUGACCCAGCGACGCCGCGUGAGGGAUGAAGGCCUUCGGGUUGUAAACCUCUUUCAGUAGGGAAGAAGCGAAAGUGACGGUACCUAAAGAAGAAGCACCGGCUAACUAUGUGCCAGCCGCCGCCGUAA